rnacentral:rRNA from 1 species
GAUGAACGCUGGCGGCGUGCCUAAUACAUGCAAGUCGAGCGAACAGACGAGGAGCUUGCUCCUCUGACGUUAGCGGCGGACGGGUGAGUAACACGUGGAUAACCUACCUAUAAGACUGGGAUAACUUCGGGAAACCGGAGCUAAUACCGGAUAAUAUAUUGAACCGCAUGGUUCAAUAGUGAAAGACGGUUUUGCUGUCACUUAUAGAUGGAUCCGCGCCGCAUUAGCUAGUUGGUAAGGUAACGGCUUACCAAGGCAACGAUGCGUAGCCGACCUGAGAGGGUGAUCGGCCACACUGGAACUGAGACACGGUCCAGACUCCUGCGGGAGGCAGCAGUAGGGAAUCUUACGCAAUGGGCGAAAGCCUGACGGAGCAACGCCGCGUGAGUGAUGAAGGUCUUCGGAUCGUAAAGCUCUGUUACUAGGGAAGAACCAAUGUGUAAGUAACUGUGCACGUCUUGACGGUACCGAGUCAGAAAGCCACGGCUAACUACGUG